rnacentral:rRNA from 1 species
AUGGAGGACCAAGGCAAGAGGAAGAAGCAAGAAGAUUUUGACAAGAAGAUGGCGGCCCGCCUUCAGAAAGGUUCUGAUGUUCCUGAAUCUGUUGAUGUUGCUGAGCUCAUGGUUCGGCAUUGCUCUGUUGCUGAGGAAGACGUGUCGUGUGGCACUGAUGUCAUGGUUCUCCCCGUGAAGAAGAAAAUCAAGAAGACCACUACCGGGAAGAAUUUAGUUGGUGAACUUACUCCUCAGAGGAGCCCACAUGUUUCAAGGGCUGCAGAACUUGCUGAAGAGGAAGGACUAGCCCUUGGUUGUACGCCACGCUGUAUUCCAUGUGUGCUUGCCACUGCGGCGCCUACACCUUCUCCGAUUGGUGCUGGUGCAUCUGGUAAGGGGAAGAAAUCGGCGUUAAGCGCAAGGUUGCACCUGCAAAGGUCAACAAGGGUGUGA